rnacentral:rRNA from 1 species
CCUACGGGAGACAGCAGUGGGGAAUAUUGCACAAUGGGGGAAACCCUGAUGCAGCGACGCCGCGUGAGUGAAGAAGUACUUCGUUACGUAAAGCUCUAUCAGCAGGGAAGAAACACUGACCUUACGGUCAGCAGACGGUACCUGAGUAAGAAGCCCCGGCUAACUACGUGCCAGCAGCCGCGGUAAUACGUAGGGGGCAAGCGUUAUCCGGAUUUAUGGGGUUGAAGGGGUGCGUAGGCGGAAUAUCAAGUCAGCGGUAAAAAUGCGGGGCUCAACCCCGUCGUGCCGUUGAAACUGAGGUUCUUGAGUGGGCGAGAAGUAUGCGGAAUGCGUGGUGUAGCGGUGAAAUGCAUAGAUAUCACGCAGAACUCCGAUUGCGAAGGCAGCAUACCGGCGCCCAACUGACGCUGAAGCACGAAAGCGUGGGUAUCGAACAGGAUUAGAUACCCCUGUAGUC